rnacentral:hammerhead_ribozyme from 1 species
AUCCAUCUGACGAGUCCCAAAUAGGACGAAACGCUCGUGCUACUAU